GAUGAACGCUAGCGGCAGGCUUAACACAUGCAAGUCGAGGGGCAGCACGGGUAGCAAUACCUGGUGGCGACCGGCGCAAGGGUGCGUAACGCGUGAGCAACAUGCCCUAUACAGGGGGAUAAUCCAGGGAAACUUGGUCUAAUAUCCCAUAGUAUUUAGAGGUGGCAUCACCACUAAAUUAAAGCUUCGGUGGUAUAGGAUUGGCUCGCGUGACAUUAGCUGGAUGGUGGGGUAACGGCUCACCAUGGCGAUGAUGUCUAGGGGUUCUGAGAGGAAGACCCCCCACACUGGGACUGAGACACGGCCCAGACUCCUACGGGAGGCAGCAGUGAGGAAUAUUGGACAAUGGAUGGAAAUCUGAUCCAGCCAUGCCGCGUGCAGGAAGACAGCCCUAUGGGUUGUAAACUGCUUUUAGCCGGGAAUAAACACCCGUUUUAUAACGGGCCCGAAGGUACCGGCUGAAUAAGCAUCGGCUAACUCCGUGCCAGCAGCCG
rnacentral:rRNA from 1 species